GACGAACGCUGACGGCGUGCUUAACACAUGCAAGUCGAAGGGAGUGGCGAACGGGUGAGUAACACGUGAGUAACCUGCCCUUUUCUUUGGGAUAAGCCUGGGAAACUGGGUCUAAUACUGGAUGGAUUGGGAUGGGCUCGCGGCUUAUCGGCUUGGUGGUGGGGGGAUGGCUUACCAAGGCUUUGGUGGGUAGCCGGCGUGAGAGGGGGGUCGGUCACUCUGGGAAUGAGAUACGGCCCAGAGUCCUACGGGGGGGAGCAGUGGGGGAUAUUGCGCAAUGGAUGAAAGUCUGAUGCAGCGACGUCGUGUGGGGGAUGAGGGCCUUCGGGUUGUAAACUCCUUUCGCCCGCGGAAUGGUAGUGGGUAAAGAAGCGCCGGCUAACUACGUGCCAGCAGCCGCGGUAAUAC
rnacentral:rRNA from 1 species